GCAUAUCAAUAAGCGGAGGAAAAGAAACCAACAGGGAUUACCUCAGUAACGGCGAGUGAAGCGGUAAAAGCUCAAAUUUGAAAUCUGGCUCUUUUAGAGUCCGAGUUGUAAUUUGUAGAAGAUGCUUCGGGUGUGGUUCCGGUCUAAGUUCCUUGGAACAGGACGUCAUAGAGGGUGAGAAUCCCGUAUGUGACUGGAUACCUAUGCUCAUGUGAAGCUCUUUCGACGAGUCGAGUUGUUUGGGAAUGCAGCUCAAAAUGGGUGGUAUAUUUCAUCUAAAGCUAAAUAUUGGCCAGAGACCGAUAGCGCACAAGUAGAGUGAUCGAAAGAUGAAAAGCACUUUGGAAAGAGAGUUAAACAGUACGUGAAAUUGUUGAAAGGGAAGCGCUUGCAAUCAGACUUGCACUUGGUGUUCAUCGGGGUUUCUACCCCGUGUACUUCAUCAAGUUCAGGCCAGCAUCAGUUUGGGUGGUUAGAUAAAGGCUUAGAGAAUGUGGCCCUCUUCGGGGGGUGUUAUAGCUCUAGGUGCAAUGUAGCCUACCUGGACUGAGGACCGCGCUUCGGCUAGGAUGCUGGCGUAAUGGUUGUAAGCGACCCGUCUUGAAACACGGACCAAGGAGUGUACCUAAUAUGCGAGUGUUUGGGUGUUAGACCCAUACGCGUAAUGAAAGUGAACGGAGGUGAGAGCCCUUAAGGGUGCAUCAUCGACCGAUCCUGAUGUCUUCGGAUGGAUUUGAGUAAGAGCAUAUUGGGUGCGACCCGAAAGAUGGUGAUCUAUACGUGAAUAGGGUGAAGCCAGAGGAAACUCUGGUGGAGGCUCGCAGCGGUUCUGACGUGCAAAUCGAUCGUCAAAUUUGCGUAUAGGGGCGAAAGACUAAUCGAACCAUCUAGUAGCUGGUUCCUGCCGA
rnacentral:rRNA from 1 species